CGCGGCCUAUCAGCUUGUUGGUGAGGUAAAAGCUCACCAAGGCAAUGACGGGUAGCUGGGCUGAGAGGUCGGCCAGCCACAAGGGAACUGAGACACGGUCCCUACAUCUACGGAUGGCAGCAACCGGGAAUUUUGCGCAAUGGGGGAAACCCUGACGCAGCGACGCCGCGUGGAGGAUGAAGGUUUUCGGAUCGUAAACUCCUUUUGCCAAGCCCUUCAAAGCUUGGAGAAUAAGCCUUUACUAACUACGUGCCAGAAGUCUCGGUAAUACGUAGGAGGCAAGCGUUAUCCGGAUUAACUGGGCGUAAAGCGUGCGUAGGCGGUCCUAUAAGUCACAGCUUAAAGGCUACGGCUCAACCGUGGAAAUGGUUGUGAUACUGUAGGACUAGAGGAUUGUUCGGGAUGUCGGAACAGCUGGUGUAGCGGUGAAAUGCGUUGAUAUCAGCUGGAACACCAAAGGCGAAGGCAGACAUCUAGAAUCCUCCUGACGCUGAGGUACGAAAGCUAGGGGAGCGAAAGGGAUUAGAGACCCCUGUAGUCCUAGCCGUAAACGAUGGACGCUAGAUUCUCCUGUUUUACGGGAGAGUCGUAAGCUAACGCGUUAAGCGCCCCGCCUGGGGAGUACGG
rnacentral:rRNA from 1 species